GCAAACGGUGCCGCUCGGGUAGAGGCGGGCAGAGCUGCACGUCGGCUUCCCGGAGCCCCCAGGGCUGCGCUCCUCCCAGUUUGACCAGACGCAGGCUGUGGGAGGGCUGGGUGAACUCCCGCUGUGGAGACCCAGCUCGAAAUGAUUGCAAAAGAUAUUUGUUGCUGUGGAAAUAUAUGAAAGUCUUGGUCAGUAGGACAAGGGCAGCUCAGAGAGGAGCUGGGGGUGAGGCCAGUUGUAUCUACUGUGCCGCAGGCUGGGAAAAUAGAAAUACUACCAGGCAGCGCUGUUGCAGGCGGGAGAGUGAAGCAAAGCCCAGCUACAAUGCAAUGGCCUACAGACCUUGGUGUCAUGAAACGAGGACGAGUCUGGACAACACUGAUAGCAGAGCUGGGACUCCAAGGGAGAGCCCCCAGGACAGCGAGGGACAGCAGGACCCCUGGCCACAGCUGCCUCGCAGGGACAGGGAAGGGGCCGGUGGUUCAGCACCGUUACAUACUGCACAUCCCAGAUCUGCAGCCGGAACCGAUCAAGCUGAAUUAAGUGGAAACUCUUUGGGGAUGCAGAACCCGAGGCCGUGGCUCCUCUCCACGUGUUGAAGAGCGGAUGGACUUGGAAGCCGCUUUUAACCUUGAAAAGGAAGGGAGAGGCAUGCCAUCUCCCAGGUAAACCAGGUACACGUCUUCAAGCACUGGGAAAAUGCCUGUGGUGUCCCUGACAGCAGGAAAUCCCACAGCAAGGGCUGAGCGUGGUGAAAUUAAAGCCCCAAAGCAGCCCUUGGAGGACCAUGGCCUCUUCCCCCUUUCCCCUGCAGAAAUGCUUCUUGCAAA